GCCAUACAAAACGCCUCAUCACCAGCCAUACAAAACGCCUCAUCACCAGCCAUACAAAACGCCUCAUCACCAGCCAUACAAAACGCCUCAUCACAAGGGCUAUUUAAGGUUCCCUGGCCCCUCUGUGUUGGCUAAAGACAGGGCUAUUUAAUUAAGGUUCCCUAGCCCCUCUGUGUUGGGUAAGGACUGGUCUAUUUCAUUAAGGUUCCCUGUCCCCUCUGUGUUGGGUAAAGACAGGAUUUUUACCCCCCCCCUGGCCGUCAAGAGGAGUGCACCAGCUUUGGCGUCUACUCUGAGCCACUCCUGUAGCUUCGUUUCACUGAGACCUAUUCUAUAAUUUCAGAUCUAAAGGAGUGGGGAUACAGAGGGGUAGUUUGGGCAUUUAGAAAGGGUUGAGAUAUGGACAUGUGGACCCUGUAUGUAUCAAUGGUGAUCCUGAACUGGCAGAUCUCAAAUCAUCUAGUCUCUCUUGUUCAGAUCACUGUGUCUCAAACAUCUAGUCCCUCUUGUUCAGAUCACUGUGUCUCAAUCAUCUAGUCUCUUGUUCAGAUCACUGUGUCUCAAACAUCUAAUCUCUCUUGUUCAGAUCACUGUGUCUCAAACAUCUAAUCUCUCUUGUUCAGAUCACUGUGUCUCAAACAUCUAAUCUCUCUUGUUCAGAUCACUGUGUCUCAAACAUCUAGUCUCUCUUGUUCAGAUCACUGUGUCUCAAACAUCUAGUCUCUCUUGUUCAGAUCACUGUGUC
ensembl:lncRNA